rnacentral:rRNA from 1 species
UACGGGGGGAGCAAGCGUUGUUCGGAUUUACUGGGCGUAAAGGGCGCGUAGGCGGCCACCGCAAGUCGGUUGUGAAAUCUCCGGGCUUAACCCGGAAAGGUCAAUCGAUACUGCGGGGCUAGAGUGCAGAAGGGGCAACUGGAAUUCUCGGUGUAGCGGUGAAAUGCGUAGAUAUCGAGAGGAACACCUGCGGCGAAGGCGGGUUGCUGGGCUGACACUGACGCUGAAGCGCGAAAGCUAGGGGGAGCGAACAGG